UACGUAGGGAGCAAGCGUUGUCCGGAAUCAUUGGGCGUAAAGCGCGCGUAGGCGGCCCCGUAAGUCCGCUGUGAAAGUCAAAGGCUCAACCUUUGAAAGCCGGUGGAUACUGUGGGGCUAGAGUACGGAAGAGGCGAGUGGAAUUCCUGGUGUAGCGGGUGGAAUGCGCAGAUAUCAGGAGGAACACCGGUGGCGAAGGCGGGUCUCGUGGCCGAUACUGACGCUGGAGGAGCGAAAGCGUGGGGAGCGAACAGG
rnacentral:rRNA from 1 species